UACAGAGGUCUCAAGCGUUGUUUCGGAUUCAUUGGGGCGUAAAGGGUGCGUAGGCGGCGCGGUAAGUCGGGGUGUGAAAUCUUGGAGCUUAACUCCGAAACUGCAUUCGAUACUGCCGUGCUUGAGGACUGGAGAGGAGACUGGAAUUUACGGUGUAGCGGUGAAAUGCGUAGAUAUCGUAAGGAAGACCAGUGGGCGAAGG
rnacentral:rRNA from 1 species